GAACUCUCUCCUCCCCUUACUCAAUCCUCUGCUUCUUCUUUGAUUCAUGGACAAGGAGGAAGACAAGGAGUUGGACCCUGGAUGUGCUCUCCUUCGUCCAUCAUGCGUCUGCAUGUCCUCAUUCACAGGAUAAGUACCAUCCUUAUACUUGAUUUUCUACUGUUUUGUUUGGUUUUAAUUCUCUCUGCCAUUCUCACUCCACUUUCUCUGUCUCUCACUCAGUUUGAAGCUUUUCAACUUUUCGCACAAAUUGCUUAAAAAUUCCAGCUCUCAAACAUCUUAGAUCCCUUACUCACCCUUCUGUCAUCGACACCCCAAAGGAAUGAGUGGCACUUUUUCUCAAUGGAAGAUGAUAGUUCAAAUGUGUCAAUGGUUCUAGAAAUGCAAUUACAAGUUUACGUACAUUCAGUCUACCAACAGCAUUUCUAUGCGCACAAGUCAGACACAUGGAUAUGUUCCAAUCUCUGCGACAAGCACUACUGCGAGGCCACUACCAUAUGCAAAUAUCUACAUACAUGAUCUGGGUCUUUUUUCAAUUUGCAUUUUGGUUGUCCAAGAUUUCCAGGUUUUUGUAUAAAAAUAUAAGAACAAAACUGCACAUUGAGGAGUUUAUGAUGAACUUUUUGGAGUGUCGGUAACACUUCACUUUAGGAAUAUGUAAAACUACUAAUCAUUGUUUGAUAAUUCCUUACAUAUGUGUGUAAUGAACGACUUGGACUUUACCAUAAAUUAAUUUAAUUUCUAUUGCAGCAAA